AUUGAACGCUGGCGGCAUGCCUUACACAUGCAAGUCGAACGGCAGCACGGGAGCAAUCCUGGUGGCGAGUGGUGAACGGGUGAGUAAUGUAUCGGAACGUGCCCAGUCGUGGGGGAUAACGUAGCGAAAGCUACGCUAAUACCGCAUACGAUCUGUGGAUGAAAGCGGGGGACCGUAAGGCCUCGCGCGAUUGGAGCGGCCGAUAUCAGAUUAGGUAGUUGGUGGGGUAAAGGCCUACCAAGCCGACGAUCUGUAGCUGGUCUGAGAGGACGACCAGCCACACUGGGACUGAGACACGGCCCAGACUCCGACGGGAGGCAGCAGUGGGGAAUUUUGGACAAUGGGCGCAAGCCUGAUCCAGCAAUGCCGCGUGCAGGAUGAAGGCCUUCGGGUUGUAAACUGCUUUUGUACGGAGCGAAAAGGCUCUCUCUAAUACAGGGGGCUCAUGACGGUACCGUAAGGAUAAGCACCGGCUAACUACGUGCCAGCAGCCGCCGUAA
rnacentral:rRNA from 1 species